AGAGUUUGAUCAUGGCUCAGGAUGAACGCUAGCGACAGGCUUAACACAUGCAAGUCGAGGGGCAGCGGGGAGCAAGCUUGCUUGCUCUGCCGGCGACCGGCGCACGGGUGAGUAACACGUAUGCAACCUGCCCUCCGCAGGGGGAUAACCCGGAGAAAUCCGGACUAAUACCGCGUGGUACAUCUGUGGGGCAUCCCACGGGUGUUAAAAGGAAGCGAUUCCGGCGGAGGAUGGGCAUGCGGCGCAUUAGCUAGUUGGCGGGGUAACGGCCCACCAAGGCGACGAUGCGUAGGGGUUCUGAGAGGAAGGUCCCCCACACUGGUACUGAGACACGGACCAGACUCCUACGGGAGGCAGCAGUGAGGAAUAUUGGUCAAUGGGCGGGAGCCUGAACCAGCCAAGUCGCGUGAGGGAAGACGGUCCUAUGGAUUGUAAACCUCUUUAGGCGGGGAGCAAUGCCGGGCACGCGUGCCCGGAGGGAGAGUACCCGCAAAAUAAGCAUCGGCUAACUCCGUGCCAGCAGCCGCGGUAAUACGGAGGAUGCGAGCGUUAUCCGGAUUUAUUGGGUUUAA
rnacentral:rRNA from 1 species